GAGGGUAUAGCUCAGUGGUAGAGCGCAUGCCUCACAAGCACAGGGUCCUGGAUUCAAUCCCCAGUACCUCCA
rfam:Camelus ferus unplaced genomic scaffold scaffold379, whole genome shotgun sequence.